UACGUAGGGGGCAAGCGUUGUCCGGAAUCAUUGGGCGUAAAGCGCACGUAGGCGGCCCGGUAAGUCCGCUCUGAAAGUCAGAGGCUCAACCUCUGGAGGCGAGUGGAUACUGCCGGGCUAGAGUCCGGAAGAGGCGAGUGGAAUUCCUGGUGUAGCGGUGGAAUGCGUAGAGAUCAGGUGGAACACCGAUGGCGAAGGCAGCACCCUGGACGAGUACUGACGCUGAGGCGCGAAAGCGUGGGGAGCGAACGGG
rnacentral:rRNA from 1 species